UUGGUCAUUUAGAGGAAGUAAAAGUCGUAACAAGGUUUUCUUGGUCAUUUAGAGGAAGUAAAAGUCGUAACAAGGUCUCCGUUGGUGAACCAGCGGAGGGAUCAUUA
rnacentral:rRNA from 1 species